GCCAGGCACAGUGGCACAUGCCUGUAAUCCCAGCAGCUCGGGAGGCAGAGGCAGGAGGAUCAUGAGUUCAAAGCCAGCCUCAACAAUUUAGCGAGGCGCUUAAGCUAACUCAGUGAGACCCUGUCUCUA
rnacentral:sRNA from 1 species